GUCACAGUGUGUUUGAGUUCCGCACGGCGCGAGUGCACCAGCCGCCAGCCACGGCCGAGAAAAAAGCAAAUUCGACUCAGGCGUUGACUCAAAGAUUUCCAGUUUUUCAAUUUUACUGCGUGUGGAAUCGGUCGUGCAUCCGUUCAUUGACGAGAAACAGUUUUCCGUGCCGCGGAACGCCAGCAAAACCCUCCGGAACCGCAUCACGGCUCGUGGUUGACGGACCCAAUUACCUGGAAGUUGGCAGCCACAGCAGAGUCCCAGGAAGCGAACGUGAGAAUUUGUUUGCUUGCAAUUCGGUGUCGGACGCGUGAAUCUGAGCCUGCGGUCGCUUAGGUCGAAACGAGCUGCUGCAGUGCGUGCGUGAGAUUUCGUGCGAAACGUCAAUCGGGUGACUUGAACUAGGUGUUUGGUGACAACAGUGCGCAGCAGAAGGCUUUGUCCAAGCCGCUCCAGUGAAAGAAGUGUCCAGGCGGAGGCUCCGAUAGUCUUCGCUCAAGGAACCGCACGGCCAGGUUUUUGGAGACUCCCAAAACCGGAAAGACGGGCAAUUCCCCCGACCAUUGUCCAGAACGGAUUAUCGUCGCGUCGAGAACCUGCUGCCAAGUCUCAAGGCACCAGAGACUCCUCGACCUCUCGAACAGGUCACCUCGCAGCCUUCAGCCCGUGUUCCAGUUCUCCGGUCGCUGUUUUGGUCUUGCAGUGCGCCCCGGAGCAGUCUGAGCAGAACUGCCUGUCCGUGCACUCAAGUUGCCACCGGCCCUUGGAAGGAUUCAUAACAAUAGCCCGAAACCCUUGAGACUUCUCUCGGCCUCGAGUAGGUUGCAGGCAAGCUGCUGCGGAAGGCUCCGCCGCUCCAUCGUCUUGUGAGGCGUGUUUUUGUUCUUGGCCCGACAAAGGCCCGAGGAGCACCGCAACCCGGCCUGGUCCCGGACAAAGAAACCUGCCAAGCGCGGCUGCUCGGACGCGAGUUCAUUUACAUCGUCGUCAAGUUGGGAUUUGUUUGCGGCGCGGCCGAGGAGGAUUGGCACCGAGGCCGAACCUCGCACGGCAGCUGGCGUUAAUUGAGGGACUUCCAAUUGCAGUCGAGACUGCACGCUCGACUGAUACGGGUGCUCUGUGUGCGGACUCUCGUUUGGACAGUUCGGUCGCGAGUGGAUUCCCGGAGGUCCUCGAUCAGAAUCUGGAAGCGAAUAUAUCGCGGUGUAUCGAUUUUCAACACGCACAUAUUCCCAGCAACGUCACGUUGUCUCCGCGACCAGUCCCCGAGCUCCGCAGUGUCCCCAGCCCAAGCGAGCGGCUCACAAUUUCUCCAUUCACUAGUCGACAAGCAGCUCCACUCGGGGAGCCACGUGCGGAAUUUAAUCGCGAUAAUCGCCAACGAAAAGAAAACAUUGCGAAAAUUCGCUUUCAUUCAGUUAUUGUGAAUUGCCGACUGGAGUUUGGAAUUUAAAUUUUCGCGCCACUCUUGCCCGGUCGUCGGUGAAGUGCUCCCCAUUCUCUGUUUAUCCGGGCGUGACGAUAUCGUGAGUUACUUGAGCCGCGCAAAAGGAAGUGGAAAGUGUUUUGAGUGCAGCGAAUUUCCGUUCAGUUUUAAUUGGAUCCGCUCAUCGCAGCCCCGCGAAAACGCCAAUUAGUUCAUUUCGCAUCGGCAGGCUCGUGGUGAGUCCUGGGAGGAAGGAGCGCCGACCUUCGUUGAUCCUUCAGCAAGUGGAAUGCUGGUAGGAGAAAUUUUCUUAUCCGGUUUGUAAAGUAUUUCAUGGGAAUUUGCUGAUGGCGGCCGUUGGCGGCCCAGCACGUCAGUCCAGGGUCUCGAUGAGCGUGUCCAUGUCGCUGGUACAAGGAGGAGCAGCCGGUGGUGCCCCGCAGGGUGCUAUCUUGGCAGCGGCAGCACCAUACUAUCAACCCCCGGCAGUGCCGCAAGAUGUUCAACCAGAUCGACCAAUUGGCUACGGAGCGUUCGGAGUUGUUUGGGCUGUAACAGAUCCUCGAGAUGGACGACGUGUAGCGCUUAAGAAACUUCCGAAUGUGUUCCAGUCACUGGUAUCGUCGAAGCGAGUUUUUCGCGAGUUGAAGAUGUUAUGCUUCUUCAAGCAUGAAAAUGUACUCUCAGCAUUGGAUAUCCUGCAGCCACCACAUUUGGACUUCUUCCAGGAAAUAUAUGUGAUAACCGAACUUUUACAAUCCGAUCUACACAAAAUCAUUGUUUCACCGCAACAUCUAUCCGCCGACCACAUCAAAGUAUUUCUCUAUCAAAUCCUGCGUGGCCUAAAAUACCUCCAUUCGGCCCGCAUCCUGCACAGAGACAUCAAACCCGGCAAUUUAUUGGUAAAUAGUAAUUGUGUUUUGAAAAUCUGCGAUUUUGGAUUGGCCCGCGUCGAAGAACCAGAUCAAUCGAAGCACAUGACACAAGAAGUUGUGACACAAUAUUAUCGUGCUCCGGAAAUUCUAAUGGGAGCCCGACAUUAUUCAGCUGCCGUGGAUGUUUGGUCGGUAGGAUGUAUAUUUGGAGAGCUGUUGGGACGACGGAUACUUUUCCAAGCACAAAAUCCUGUGCAACAAUUAGAAUUAAUCACCGAGUUGUUGGGCACACCAUCGUUGGAGGAUAUGCGACAUGCUUGCGAGGGUGCACGAUCGCAUAUGUUGCGAAGAGCACCAAAAGCACCUUCGUUUUCAGCCCUCUAUACGCUUAGCUCACAUGCAACACAUGAAGCAGUGCAUUUAUUAUGUCAGAUGCUUGUUUUUGAUCCGGAUAAGCGAAUAUCAGUCAUAGAUGCACUGGCGCAUCCAUACCUCGACGAAGGACGACUUAGGUACCACUCCUGCAUGUGUAAAUGUUGCUUCACAACGUCAUCGGGCAUGAGACAAUAUACAGGCGACUUUGAACCGGCCGCAGCUCAACCAUUCGAUGAUCUCUGGGAAAGAAAGUUGACGUCAGUGCAACAAGUUAAAGAGGAAAUGCAUAAAUUUAUCGCGGAACAAUUACAAACAGGUCGCGUGCCACUUUGUAUAAAUCCGCAAAGUGCUGCGUUCAAAAGCUUCGCCAGUAAUGAAAAGUGAAACGAUAAGGGCGUACGACACGAUUUAAAAAAUCUGUAGAAAACAAAUGUCAAAUAUUCUUCUGCUUUAAAAUCAUCAUGAGAUCAGCGAAUUAUUAAAUACGUCUUCUGUGCGAUUGAUACCGAGUAUGUGAGGCUACUACAGCUUCUACUAGCAACCAUACAACAUGUGACAACAAUGCGUCCCAACACCACCAACCAUGAUCAAAUCAGCAAAUCAACCAACCAACCAAUCAACCAAGAAAACAACCAGCCAUCACAGCGCCUAGUUCAACGGUAGCGCACCCAUCCGAAUUGCCGCCCUCGCCACAUCAAUGGGAAUGACGGCAAAAUGAGGCGAUAGCUGCCUAAAAACGAAAUCCAAUUUUAUAUUUAGUUCGUAUGACAACAGUAGCAACAACUCAUGUUUACUUAAAUAACUACAGCUACAAAAACAAACCGUGACAACAUUUAUCCUGGCUAACAUAGCAAAUGUCUGCAUUUGUUUAUGUUUCCUUCGUAUUUUUGCAUAAGAUAUGUUUGGAAAUGCUGCGUAUAUAUUACAUAUUGAGCGGAAUUUCCUAGGAAAUUCUGGAAAAAUCAACGGAGAAUCUUUGGAGACAGAGGAAGGAUGUAAAGUGAACAAUCUGAGGAGAUAAACGAGCAACACAAGAAACGUCCUAGUCGAAAUAACUUUUUUUUUAUUGUGGUGUUGUGGAACUUUUGAAGAGAACUCAAGUUUCUGGGAAUUAUAUUUCGGAACUGAAAUAUUUCUCAAGGACACUGUCGAAAACUGAAAUCGGGAAAUAAUAUUAAUGUCGAAGUUAACCGAUGUGAGAAAACUGUAAUACGAUUGCGGAUCGGAGGGAGAAGAUUGCAAAUUGUUUGUUUUGCGAUCGAUUAACGCGAUUACUGGAUGAUAAAUGACAAAAUGUGGAAAAAUUACAGUGUCCUUGCCUACGUGCAAGGAGUGGAGAUGCAUAACCCGCGGGACCGAACUACGACAAAGAAACUUUUGAUAAUUUUCAAGCCUAAAUGAAAAUUACGAUUCCUACAGAUUUGUAGUGCAAGUGAGCAUUUCACUUUGAAAUUCGAAACACUAUUGAAAAAACAUAAAUAGAAAGUAGAAAGUUACAAAACUCAUAUAAUAACUGUAUGUAUAAACAUUUCCAAUUAUAUAGCAAUUCUUUUUGCCAAAUUUACCUCAACUUUUAAAAAACACUUAGAAAAAAACGGAGCAAAAAACAAGCAAACAUGUAUUUACGGAAAAGCAAGAAGAAACGAAUAACAAUAGUUGCUUCAUUUGUUUUUUCGUCCUUAGAACAUUUUUAUUUUUUCUCACAGUAAAUUUUUAAAAAGAUUAUGAAACCUCAGUGGACAAUGAGAAAUGGAAAAAAGUAAAAAAUUGUGUAGAAAUAAUUUUAAUAAUUCGAGUAAAAAUGAAAGUUAUAAAAAUAAAACGUAGCGAAUAAGUCAAGCAGUAAAUAUUAUAUAUAAAUAUCGAUGGAAGAUUCAAUAAAGUAGAAGUUAAAAGUAAAGAAGAUUAAUAAAGUGGAUGAAGAAGAAGAAAGAAGUAAAUGAAAAAAAGGAAUAAAAAAACAACAACAAUUAUAACAUAAAAAUGUUCGUAUUACUUAGAAUUUAGUAUGUACUCAACGCUUCUGGACUGAUUUUAGUUAGUAAUAUGUAAUUUUUUUUUGUGUCGCUUUUAAAAGAAAAUUCUUUUCUUAAUUUCUUUAAUGAUUCCGACUUCUAUGUAAUUUUAUUUUUACAUUAGAUUGAAUAGAAAAAACAAACAAGAUGAAAGAACCUUCUUGUAAAAAGGUAACACGAAAAUAAGGAUAUGAUUUUCAUUGAUAAUUUUAAUUUUCAUAAAGUUGCCAUUUCAGUGUCUAUGAACACAUUUUUACUUUGUCUUCACAUUCAAUUAAAUUUGUAAUGCUUUAUAUAAUAGUUUUGAACAAAAUAAAAUGCAAAACGUAGUGUUUUUAAAAAGGUAUUCAUGUUUGGGGUGAUUCGAUAUGCGGUUCCUAAGUCAAAGAAGAAUGGAUUAUAGCUUCCAUUUAGAUCUGGAUUAGUGCCUCUUGUUUUCCUGAUCUUUUCGAAAGCGUUUUUCAGUGAUAGCCGGGUGCUAGGUGCUUGAGGUACGAAAUGAUUCGUGGUUUUCCAAGGUGAGGAACUCUCUCUUCUAUUUUAAGGAUUUAUGUAAAAUUGUCGCUUUUUUCGCACUUUAAUCAAAAACGGUUACUUCUGUUGACACGAAAGAGAGAAGUAGAGAGGUUGAAACUAUGGAUCCGCAUGCAUGCAGUAGAUUACGUUGUUUCGUGUCGAACUUAAGGGGGGUACUAAUAUCCAAAAUUAUUUUUCACCAAAUAUAACUUUGGGGGGUCUCUUGGGUGCAAAGAGAUGCGUGGGUUAGAAUUAUAUAUUUCCGGGUCAAAGGGCCCAACUGAAAAUCUGAAAAAAAUGUUGGUGUUCCGUGCGUAUCCCAUCUAUAGCUUCAACAUACCCUGGACUACAAUAUUCGCUCUUAAAUAGUUAUUAAUGUUUAGGAUAGUGAGCGAUCCUAAGUCCACAUCCACUUGUUAUUAAUGGUAUGUUUUUAUAUUUUGUAAAUUUACUGCGAAUCGCACCUUAAGUUCAUCCUAAAGCCAUUGCAGUCAAGUAACUUGAAGUAUGGGUCAUCAUACUGAAAAAUUUGGUGGAAAUCGUACUGUUACUAGCAAAGCUCUCGCCGUCAAACUGAUGCUCCUUAAGAAAUAAAAUGUCAGCAUCACAUUGAAGUUGCAUAAAAAUGGAACCAUCGUGCAUCCACAAAAUAUCUAUAAAACUUAAGUUUCCGGUUUCUGACUUGUUACGUAGUUCAAAUAGAAUUUUGCGAUAGACCCGUUUAACUAAUAGAUUCGUUUUACAAAACAUUGAUUGAGUUGAUAGUGGUUCACUUGCUUUAGUACCUGGUUUCACAAUGAGAGUAGAGCAUAAUUUAACAAGUUACUGAAUCUUACUUAAAAUGGGUGCAAAAAGAAAUGGAGAGAAAAAUAACUUCAUCAUACAAUGCCAGAAAAAAAAGCUGAAGUUCCAUUUGGUCCGGUCUAACAACAAGUGGUUGUGGACUUAGGAUCCCUCACUUAUCCUAAACAAUUUGAUUAAAGUCGUUAAAGAUGUUUUUUUUAGAAAGUCAAUGUAUUUUUAACCAUCCUUUUUUUUGUUACAUAUAAUUUCGUAGUAGUUUUAUGUUGAAUAAGUUAUGUGUUAAAAGUUGUCGCAAAGUAACUAUUCAUUCAUUUUUUCUGUUUUCGUCAUUUUUUUGGAUUGAAAAAAAAACCUUCCCAUCCGUUCAAAAUAAAAAUUCCUUAUCAACAGACUUAAAAAAAAACAAAAAAAAGUAAUAGGCAGCUCUGUCAACAUUUUCUUAAAGAUGUCCGAUGAAAUUCAAGUCCGACUAUCGAUGAGAGUUCACAUGGUUGUCACCCAGUAAACUCUUCGUAAUUCAAGCCGAGUGCUUCUGAUUAUUGCCAUCCAUAAAAAUCCAAACAUUGGCCAAUUUUUCGGGAACGUACAGUAUUUGGUUGCAGUCAGUAUACCCUGAAAUUUAAACAUUGGGCUAACGGUAUUUUGAGAAAAACAAGAUCGAACCAACGAUAAUCCGCUGCCAUGGCUUGAAUUAGAAGGUGGUUUGUUAGCCAAAUUUUAAAUAAAAUUAAACGAGUUUCGAAGACUAGUUCUUGUAUUAGCUAAAAAAAUUGGUAGAAAAUAAGUACCGUAUUUCGGGAACCAACUGCUCAUUUUUUCAACCAAUUCCAACCAAUAACGUAUUUCCGGAAGCAACUUCCCCUUUUUUCAGUGAAAACACUGAAAAAGAAUACAGUUUGUUCCCGAAAUACGGGAUUUCGAUUACGAUUAUUUUGUGCGACGUUUAUUAUCCGAUAUUAAUGACUCGACUGGAUGGGAAAGUAUUCAGUUUUAUACGACUAGACAUAAACCAACAUAAAGAAGACAAAAACAAUUUUCAUUGCUCAUCGAGAAAUAUUUUCCGUGAAAACAUUGAAGAAGGAGAUAGUUGGUUGCCGAAAUACGGUUUUUGUUUUUCCAGAUUUUUUUUGUCAAUAAAAGAAUAAGUCUUCAGAUCCUGUUUAAUUUUAUUUUACCUACAUGUUUGGACUUCUGAUUUGGUAUUUGACGCUGUAACGUUUUCCAAAAGGCAGUCGAGUAUAUCAGCAUAAAUUUAGAUCCGUUGAACUACAACACAUGACUCUUUUAGAAAUAAUAAAAAACUUGUUUUUUCUAAAAAAACUUGUUUUUUCUUAUUCGCUACUGUUGAUAUUUUAAUUUUUGCAAAUACCGAUAUUUCGGGAACCACUUGUUCCCUUCCCUUUGUUAGCAAUGAUGAACGGAACAAGUGAUUCCUGAAAUACCAAGUCGAGACUUGGCACUGAUGAAGGAAACAAGUGGUUCCCGAAAUAUCGGAAUUUGCAAAAUAUAAAUCAACACCAGCGACUAGGAAAAACAAGUUUUUAUUAUUUCAAAUAAUUAAUCGCUGGAAACACCGCAUAAUUACACUCAGAUAAACAUGACUCUAGCGGGCGACAGUUCUUCAACGUCCUCUUUGCGCGACGGGUUUUCCCCGAUAAUAAUAGCUUCCGAGUGGGUCGGGAAGUAUUCAGUUUGAACGCCUGAAUAAGACGACAUUAACAGCAAAUUUCAUUGCUCGUGACAAAGAAUUUCCAGCCAUAUAUGUAUGUCAUGAUUCCAUAAUCUGAACGACAUGAAAAACCAUUUUACACGGGUCUAUUUACACAAUACGGACACGCAGAUGAGCUUGCAUCUCAGUUGAUUUGCUCAGAUGUCUUCUGUUUGCCUCUGUUCCAACGGAGUUAAUGCAAUGGAAUCUGCAACAAAUAUUGUCCAUAACAGACUGCGAUAUGUGUAUCGCUUUAAUGAUAAAGUGCUUCAGUUCCUCAUACAAUCGUUUUCUAACAGUAUGACCAAUCAGUCAAAAACUAAAAACAAAAAAUACUUUGAGCGGAUGUUUCCUCUGAUAAAUUGAGAAAAUUCCAUUGAAUACGUUUUUUUUUCUGCCCAAAAAAUUAAUGAAAAUAGAAAAAAAUAAAAUGACAGCGUUACCUUUUUUUUAUUGAAAAGUUGAAAUAAUACACUUAGUCUUCGUAAAAAUGCUACAAAAUCAUAUGUACAUACAAAAAACAUCAUUAGCAACUUGGAGCGCGUUUUUUCCAGCAUUGUAUAUAUGCCUCAGCCUUUGUCUCCUUCAGAAGCGGCGUCAGCUCAAAACACCAUUAAGACUCAAUGUCUGACAAUUCACUUUUAUGUAGUAUUGACAUUCUAGAUUAUAAGGUGAAAUAAAUUCAAACGAAGAAGGCUGUUUUCGCCCAUUAUAACUUUGUUAAUAAUAGCAGGGUGUCCACGAAACUUUCCAGUAAUAAUACGUAUAAACGCCGCAUUAUUUUCAUUUGAAGUUUAUAAUUUUUGUCGCUUACUUCCCUAAUUUGCAUCUGAUACUAAAAAUAAAACUUGUUUGUUUACUAAUCGGGACAUUUCAUUUGAUAUCACGUGUGUCUACAUUUGGGGGAUAAAAAAUGUAUACGCUUCUAUUGCACGUACUCGUAUUUAGGGCCUCCCUAAAACUCCAUACCAAAUUGUGUCAUUCACUAUAAGCGUGGGACCUUGUAGUCUCCAGUUAAAUUCUGUUUUCAACAAAGUCACCGUAUUUGAGAAAAGUGCGGUAUACGCGCAGAUAGGUUUUGUUUUUUACAAAACGCUAAUGAAAAAAUAAAUCCGUUUCUAUCGCGUGGUUGCGCUGUAAUAAUUGGACCCAACCAAUUUUAAUUUAAAUGUAAUGAAUUCUAGUUCAUUUAAAACCACGCGCAUCAUGCACCAGAUAAAAUGCAUAAAUUUGACAUAUACGGGAUAUGCAAUAUUUUCGGAAUAUGCUAAAUUUCAGUUAUUAUAGGUCUUCAGCAAGACAAGCAUUGGUUCAAAUAGCAUUUCAUCCUUAAGCGUUCAAAUAAAUAAAUAAAUUUUCCAAUGAGAAUUUUGAGGACUAGACAUCCUUUCUAUUGUUAUCAAGCUUUGGAUGAUGUACCUAAUAUGCGUGGCAAGAAGGUAAGGGUGUCCAGUAUGCUUUCGUAAUAUACACCAUCAUCUUUUGGGAUGGACAUUUUUUUAGCUGAACUAAUCUCACAUCAUAAAGGAACGGUUUAAUUUUGAAAACAAAAGACCAAAAUUACCACUCAUAGACACUUUUCUGAGCAAUCCUUCUUGGAAGUGACAUUACAUUCAAGUAAUUUUUACAUUAUCUAAUUUCGUGUUGCCUAUCCGAUGGUGUGUUCAAUUUCCAGAUAUGAUACAUUAAUAUUACAUUUACGUAUACUUUAUCUACUACAUUCUAAGAGAAAAGGUCGAAAAUUAAUUCAAAACCGGGGAUAAAAGCAAAACAAAACAAAAUAUAUAUUUUUUUCUUUGUAAAAUUAAGUAACAUAAAAAGGACUGAACAUAAACUUUUAAUAGUUAAGCGAAAAGCACGAGGUUAGUAGAAACAAGUAGGAUAAACUUCAAAAAUGAUUUUUUUUCAUCUUGAAUUUCCAAUUUUCUAAACAAAACUAAAUUCAAAUUCAAUUCGUAAAAAUAAAUAUACAUAAAUAUAUAACACAUGGAAAUACAUCCAUGUUUUUUUUCUGGUAAAAUUUUCAAUGCACAUAAACAAAAUAUUUUUCUUCGGUAAAUUUCCUUUCAAACACAUCAAAAUUAGAAGAAGAAAAAAAAA